CCUGAUUUUCAAGGGUCCAGAAGUCCUGUAAGAGAGAAUUUGAACCUUUUCUAUUGUGAUUUAGUCAUAUUCAGGCAGCUCCGUAGGGAGCUGUGACGGAUAGAUUGCCUUACCUGUUCAACAACUCUACCCACCUUUAGAAACAGCGAUCUGUGUUGUCUAGGAAUUUCUUCUCCCUCAUUUCCACUCAUGUGGUUUCUGUAGGAAGUGCUUUGUUCUUACGUAACACUGCCCCCAUGACCACAACUGACCUGGGUUGGGCCAAUGAGAGCCGUUCUAUGGCCUAAGAAACAAUGGAAUCCAGGGGCCCAAAGACAAGCUGCAUUUAAGGCCUGCCUUCCAUGUUCAGUUAUUCAAGGCUUCCUUGGAAUCUUGGUGACAAUUAAUUUCUUUUUUUUUUUUUUGCCUAAGGCUGUUUGAUUUGGGUUUCUGUCUCAUCCUAUCAAUCAUCCAUGGGACCCUUAAAGAAGCCGGGUUGUUGGAAAGAAAAGGAGACUGCUGAGAGGAAGAAAAUCACAAAAGCCUGAAUUCUCUUCUCUUGGGUAAUGCUGAGCGUCCCAGAUAUUUCUUGCUUUCAUGUCCUGUCAAAAUUUACCUGCCUGUAUCCUAUAUCAGCCCCUGAAGACAGCUGCUAAUCUGAUCAAUUGAUGUGUUCUAAUGGGAUAAAGAGUGAGAAUGGAGCAACAUAUUAGCCCUGCCAG